rnacentral:tRNA from 2 species
GGCGCUAUAGCCAAGUGGUUACGGCGACAGAUUCGAAUACUCGGCUAUCUGUUCCUCUUUGAGGGCGCAGGUUCAAAUCCUGCUGGCGUCG